UCUCUAUCCUGGCCUCUGUUUGGAAGCCUUCUUUUUCAGAUUCUCUCCAAUCAGGAUGUUCUGCAAUAUAGGAGGUGAGACUUCAACCUCCCUUUUACCAGAGCUUCAGGGUCCCUGCCCGCUAAACAGCCUGGAGUUGCAUGAAGUCAGCUUGAAGGCCUGUGCUGGUGUCUCCCUUGCUGUGCUAGGCCAUGGAAUCCCUGCGUUGCUUCUCAACACCUUUCUACCAUUACUCAACCUUUCUCCUUGUGGAGAGUGCCUCUGCUGAUCUCUGUGUUUCAUAAUCAUAUCCAUUCAUCGAAGUCAAGAUCGAAGGAUGCCCACCUUUAGAUGUGUGUCCUGUUGGAAAAUGAAUAAUAAUCUCAGACCCAUCACACUCACGAGGCGGCGACAAAUGUCACACGAGAGAAGACAGAACUGCAGAAGAGAACAUGCCCUGCACUCAAGUGUGUGUUCAUCUGUUUA